AUUGAACGCUGGCGGCAGGCCUAACACAUGCAAGUCGGACGAGUGGCGGACGGGUGAGUAAUGUCUAGGGAACUGCCUGAUGGAGGGGGAUAACUACUGGAAACGGUAGCUAAUACCGCAUAACAUCAGAUGAGCCCAUAUGGGAUUAGAUUGUUGGUGAGGUAACGGCUCACCUAGGCGACGAUCCCUAGCUGGGCUGAGAGGAUGACCAGCCACACUGGAACUGCGACACGCCCCAGCCUCCUACGGUAGGCAGCAGUGGUGAAUAUUGCACAAUGGUCGCAAGCCUGAUGCAGCCAUGCCGCGUGUAUGAAGAAGGCCUUCGGGUUGUAAAGUACUUUCAUUGGGGAGGCGUUACCUGCAGAAGAAGCACCGGCUAACUCCGUGCCAGCAGCCGCGGUAAUUC
rnacentral:rRNA from 1 species